rnacentral:rRNA from 1 species
AAUCUGCCUGGUAGUGGGGGAUAACGUUCGGAAACGGACGCUAAUACCGCAUACGUCCUACGGGAGAAAGCAGGGGACCUUCGGGCCUUGCGCUAUCAGAUGAGCCUAGGUCGGAUUAGCUAGUUGGUGAGGUAAUGGCUCACCAAGGCGACGAUCCGUAACUGGUCUGAGAGGAUGAUCAGUCACACUGGAACUGAGACACGGUCCAGACUCCUACGGGAGGCAGCAGUGGGGAAUAUUGGACAAUGGGCGAAAGCCUGAUCCAGCCAUGCCGCGUGUGUGAAGAAGGUCUUCGGAUUGUAAAGCACUUUAAGUUGGGAGGAAGGGUUGUAGAUUAAUACUCUGCAAUUUUGACGUUACCGACAGAAUAAGCACCGGCUAACUCUGUGCCAGCAGCCGCGGUAAUACAGAGGGUGCAAGCGUUAAUCGGAAUUACUGGGCGUAAAGCGCGCGUAGGUGGUUUGUUAAGUUGGAUGUGAAAUCCCCGGGCUCAACCUGGGAACUGCAUUCAAAACUGACUGACUAGAGUAUGGUA